UAACAAGUGUCACCUGGCAGUUUGUUGCUCUCUGCCAGGUGAUUGGCUGAAAGAGCUGUGAAAAGGUAGUGGGUGUGUGGGGUGAAAUCAGCGCACUUCUGUGGAAGAAACCAGAGGCAAUUAAUUCACUCGGGUGCGAGUGGGUAUAUUGUCGUGUGACCACCAAUUUUAACAGAAGAAUUGAUCAAGCCCUAGAUCGACUGCGCGCAGGGAAACUGAUCAAUAUUGUAGGUAUAUUGAGUGUUUGUUUUUAGCUUCAUGAUUUUAAAUGGUUUCAUAAAAUUGGUAUUUUAUUGGGUAAUAUUUUAAUUGAUAAUGUUGUUUGUUUUUCAGCGGUGCUGUCUCUGCUGUCCUUUUUUUCGUUCUUUUGAUUGAUUUGUAAUUUUCUUUUGGUUAGUCCGUCCAGCCGUAAAGGCGGUUAUUGAUUGAGAGUGAGUCGUGUAAGGGCGGACUAACCUCCCUUUUUUUGUUUUCUUGUUUAAUUGUUUGUGCCACUUCCCUUUGUCUCCCAGAUUGCAGGCCAUGCAUAUCGCUGAUUCCCAGCUGCGCUGAGACCUGAAUUGUUUGCAGUGCGUGUCACGGUUGCAGUGUCGCUAAGCGGGGUGUGACGGGGUUGCAGUGUAGUCAUAUUCGCACCGUUAGUGUGGUAAGUCUCAUGUGCAGCUGGGAUAUCAGCAGGAUCUGCUAUAAGUCCUGUCUGGAAAUAAGGGGAAUUUGUAUGUUUAAUUAAUGUAAUAAAUAAAUGAUCAAUUUAUUUCUUUGUCCCGUUCACUCGUACCUUGUCCUCGGUUACAAAGAC